AAUGAACGCUGGCGGCAUGCCUAACACAUGCAAGUCGAGCGAACAGAUGAGGAGUUUUCUCGCCUGACGUUAUCGCCGGACGGGUGAUUCACAUGUGUUUGACCUACCUACAAGACUGGGGUACUUAUACGGAACCGGAUCUACUAACCGAUAAUAUAUUGAACUGGAUGGUUCACGAGUUAAAUUCGCUUUUUCUGUGACUAAUAGCUUGAUCCGCGGCGCAUUAGCUAGUGGGUAAGGUAACGGCUUACCAAGGCUACGAUGCGUAGACGACCUGAGAGGGUGAUCCGCCACACUGGAACUGAGACACGGUCGAGACUCCUACGGGAGGCAGCAGUAGGGAAUCUUACGCAAUGGGCGAAAGCCUGAUAGAGCAACGCCGCGUGAGUGAUGAAGGUCUUCGGAUGGUAAAGCUCUGUAAGUAGGGAGGAAGAAAAGUGUAUGUACCCGUGCACGUCUUGACGGUACCGAAAGAAUAAGCUCCGGCUAACUCCGUG
rnacentral:rRNA from 1 species